AUUGUAAAAGCAGAAUAAUGCAUAAAAUUUAGAAUUUUAAGGGAAUCUUACAAUA
rnacentral:tRNA from 1 species